UGGUCAAGUUAUUAAGGGUGCAGGGCGGAUGCCUUGGCACUAGGAGCCGAUGAAGGACGUGAUAAGCUGCGAUAAGCUUCGGGGAGUUGCACGUAAACUUUGAUCCGAAGAUUUCCGAAUGAGGAAACUCACUUAGAGUAAUGUCUAAGUAUCAUUAAGUAAAUACAUAGCUUAAUGAGGGGAACUCAGGGAACUGAAACAUCUAAGUACCUGAAGGAAGAGAAAGAAAUUCGAUUCCGUAAGUAGCGGCGAGCGAACGCGGAUUAGCCCAAACCAAUAAAGUUUUCUUUAUUGGGGUUGAGGACAUACCAUGUAUAAGAAGUCAUUAUAGACGAAGAAGUUUGGAAAAACUCAUCACAGAAGGUAAUAAUCCUGUAGUCAAAAUAAUAAUUCUUUAGGUAUGAUCCAGAGUACCACGGGACACGUGAAACCCUGUGGGAAGCAGGAGGGACCACCCUCCAAGGCUAAAUACUACCUAGUGACCGAUAGCGUAUAGUACCGUGAGGGAAAGGUGAAAAGAACCCCGGGAGGGGAGUGAAAUAGAACCUGAAACCCUGCACUUACAAGCUGUGGAAGCACAUUUCUUGUGUGACCGCGUACUUUUUGUAGAACGGGCCAACGAGUUACGUUAAGUAGCAAGGUUAAGCACUUAAGGUGCGGAGCCGUAGCGAAAGCGAGUUUUAACUGAGCGUUCAGUUACUUGACAUAGACCCGAAACCGGGCGACCUACCCAUGAGCAGGAUGAAGCGAAAGUAAAAUUUCGUGGAGGUCCGAACCCACGAGCGUUGAAAAGCUCGGGGAUGACUUGUGGGUAGCGGUGAAAUUCCA
rnacentral:rRNA from 1 species